rnacentral:tRNA from 1 species
AGCCUUGAGGUGUAACACAUAUUAGAUUGCAAAUCUUAAGUAGCAGGGUAACGCCUGCCGGGGCUU